GAUGAACGCUGGCGGCGUGCCUAAUACAUGCAAGUCGAGCGAACAGACGAGGAGCUUGCUCCUCUGACGUUAGCGGCGGACGGGUGAGUAACACGUGGAUAACCUACCUAUAAGACUGGGAUAAUUUCGGGAAACCGGAGCUAAUACCGGAUAACAUGUUGAACCGCAGGGUUCAACAGUGAAAGACGGUCUUGCUGUCACUUAUAGAUGGAUCCGCGCCGCAUUAGCUAGUUGGUAAGGUAACGGCUUACCAAGGCAACGAUGCGUAGCCGACCUGAGAGGGUGAUCGGCCACACUGGAACUGAGACACGGUCCAGACUCCUACGGGAGGCAGCAGUAGGGAAUCUUCCGCAAUGGGCGAAAGCCUGACGGAGCAACGCCGCGUGAGUGAAGAAGGUCUUCGGAUCGUAAAACUCUGUUAUUAGGGAAGAACAAAUGUGUAAGUAACUAUGCACGUCUUGACGGUACCUAAUCAGAAAGCCACGGCUAACUACGUG
rnacentral:rRNA from 1 species